CUACUGCCUCUGUUCUCUCUUGCGAUGUGACUGAUUCCCACCAAGGCUACCAAAUGCUAUUCGCCUGGAGACCCAUUAAAUUCAGCAGACAACCAAGAGAGCUUCAGGAGCCAAAGGUGAACAAGAAAUAAUUCUUAGACUCAGUGACUUAACAUGAAUGUCUGCCUCUUCUUCUGAACAAAACCUGAAGCAGUGUAAAUGAAAGAGUUUGUCUCCUUGAAAAUCCAGUGGAAGAGAAGAAUGAAGCUACAGGUUCUUAAUAUUCAGCUUCAUCUCCUGGAAAGCAUGAGACAUCGCGGAAUUUACAAAACAAAUCCUUGCCAUCUUCAAAGAGUUCACAAGGAAUCAUUCUCAGAUAUUUCUCAUCUGUGGCUUCAUGAACACGUGUUUAGUAAGAGCCACAAGAAAGACCCAUAUACUUCCGAGUCCAAGAACUUCUAUUUCAUAUCUCUAAUGUCUUACACAUUAUAAGGUACUCAACAAAUAGUCAUAAAG
rnacentral:lncRNA from 1 species